AUCCAGCUGACGACUCCCAAAUAAGAUGAAAUGGGCGUCUUGGAU
rnacentral:hammerhead_ribozyme from 1 species